rnacentral:rRNA from 1 species
CCAUAGGGCCCAAAUAUCCUAAAGACACCAGAUCCUGUCUGAUCUUGAAAGCUAAGCAGGAUCAGCCCUGGUUAAUACUUGGAAAAGAAACUGCCAAAGAAUUCCAGAUGCUUUAAGUC